rnacentral:rRNA from 1 species
CAGCCGCCGCGGUAAUGCGUAGGUAGCAAGCGUUGUCCGGAAUUAUUGGGCGUAAAGGGCUCGCAGGCGGUUUCUUAAGUCUGACGUGAAAGCCCCCGGCUCAACCGGGGAGGGUCAUUGGAAACUGGGAAACUUGAGUGCAGAAGAGGAGAGUGGAAUUCCACGUGUAGCGGUGAAAUGCGUAGAGAUGUGGAGGAACACCAGUGGCGAAGGCGACUCUCUGGUCUGUAACUGACGCUGAGGAGCGAAAGCGUGGGGAGCGAACAGGAUUAGAUACCCGAGUAGUCCCUGUCUCUUAUAC